rnacentral:rRNA from 1 species
GCCAUGGGCAGGUUGAAGGUUGGGUAACACUAACUGGAGGACCGAACCGACUAAUGUUGAAAAAUUAGCGGAUGACUUGUGGCUGGGGGUGAAAGGCCAAUCAAACCGGGAGAUAGCUGGUUCUCCCCGAAAGCUAUUUAGGUAGCGCCUCGUGAAUUCAUCUCCGGGGGUAGAGCACUGUUUCGGCAAGGGGGUCAUCCCGACUUACCAACCCGAUGCAAACUGCGAAUACCGGAGAAUGUUAUCACGGGAGACACACGGCGGGUGCUAACGUCCGUCGUGAAGAGGGAAACAACCCAGACCGCCAGCUAAGGUCCCAAAGUCAUGGUUAAGUGGGAAACGAUGUGGGAAGGCCCAGACAGCCAGGAUGUUGGCUUAGAAGCAGCCAUCAUUUAAAGAAAGCGUAAUAGCUCACUGGUCGAGUCGGCCUGCGCGGAAGAUGUAACGGGGCUAAACCAUGCAC